rnacentral:lncRNA from 1 species
AUGAACAUCUUCUUUAAAAAGAAAACGCCGAACUUCACAGGCAGGCGUCAAAAAGGCCGUGCAGCCUCGGUGUCGUCGCACGCGCAGGCCGGUUCCAGACCAGGUCUCGUCUCCCCUGUGGUUGCCUCCUGCCGCCCCCUUGGGCGGGUGCGCUGGGCACACGGGGCUGACUCGGACCCCCUUCCCCAUGUGCCCCAGGAACUGGCGCCGCUCGCUGAGGACCCGUGCCCAAGGCCACCUGCCAAGAGGCCUGCCGUGACCCCGCCACUGCCCCGCGCUCCUCUCCGUCGGCUUCUCUGCGGGGCUCCGGGGGCCUGUGGGUGCCCGCGCUGGCCCGGGCCUCGCCCCUGGAGGAGGCAGGAGGGCGGCGGAGCCGAGCUCGCGUGCGGGGCGGCUCGGGAGCGCGUGCUCACUGCCCCCCCAGCCCCGUGUCCCUCGGUGGGAGCGGGGCGGGCCCCCUGGGAGGCCCCGUGGGCGCCGGGGGCCUCGGGUCCCUCGGGUCCCGGGCCGCUCCGCCGCAGCCGCCUCGGGGCCGCCGGGGCCAGCGCAGGGGGUGCGGCCCGCCGGCCCGACCCCGCCGCGAAGCGCCGGCGCGAAGGGCUCUCAGCCCCAGGGCAGUGGCCGCGCGACCGGCGGCGCUUCCCGGGGGCGCGGGCGGGGGCCACGGUGCCGCCUUGCCGGGGUGUGCCGGGCGGCCCGGGAGGCCCGCGGGGGCGGGGAGCGCCUGCCCACACGCCGGUGCCCCGCGGCCGCAGCUACCCCGGCGGCGGGACCCGGACCCUGGGCGCCAGCGCGCGGCCGCCGUCCGCAGAGACGAGGACCAGAGCGCUUCUCCCGGCCUUGCGGAAGGCCUCGCUUCCAGCCCCAAGGGCCCUGGCGUCCAGCGGCCGCGGGCGCACACGGAGCCAUUGGGAAAGGACGGGACUCGGACGGCGCGGCCAAGCAGGGCCCCGCGGUCCGCCCCUGACCCGCCUGGUCCGGCUGCUCCGUGGGUCUCCCCGGGACUCGGCCAACACCCGGCCCGGACGCCCUGCGGCGCGGCUCUCCGCGGCCCCCGGGGCGGUGUGUGCCCACGCGUGCCCUUCGGGGCCCGGGCCGCGCUCACAGCCUCGGUGCCCACCUCCCACCUCCCACCUCCCACCUCCCGCCUCCCACCUCGCCGGACCCAGCGGGGGAGGGAAGGUCAGUGCGCGGAGUCUGAUCUGGACGACCGGGGCUGCCGGGGGCGCGGGGACCCCUGGCCGGGGCGGCCCUACUCGAGCUGCGGCCAUCCCGAGCCACGGCACCUGCCAGCGUCACCCACGCCGCGCACCCGCCUUGAAAGAGCCACCGGCUCCGCCGCGGCUCCUCCGGUCUUUCCGGCAAAGGUGUCCCCGCCCCGCGGCGGGGAGGCGCGCACCGGCCACUCCAGGGCACAGGGGCUGCGGCACCGGCCGAGGGCGAGACCGGCUUCCCUCACAGGCCGCUGUCCCCGGAAGUCACCUGCGCCCACCUCCUCACCGACGGGCCUCUGCACCGUGGCCCGAGGCCCUGCGGAAGAACGCGGGAGCCGGGAAGGUUCCCGACGCUGCUUUGGCCCCGCGCAACGCCCCCCCCGCCCCCCCCCGGCACCAUCUUCACUGCGCACACUUGGCCGAGAGGAGGAUGAGGGGCACCAGCACCGCGCACGUCCGGAUGCCAGAGCUGCCCUCUCACGGGGAGCCCCCGGCCGCCCGCAAGGCCAGCCCCGCCCGGGAACCCGGGGGCAUGAGGCCGCAGGGCCCCGGACCUGCUCAAGCGGGAGAAAUCACGCAGGCCCGCCCUUCCCCCUCUUAG